rnacentral:rRNA from 1 species
CUUUAAAUCUGGCAGCAUCGCUGUCCGAGUUGUAGUCUCGAGAAGUGUUUUCCGCGCUGGAACGUGUACGAGUCUGUUGGAAUGCAGCGUCAUAGAGGGUGAGAACCCCGUUCACGACAUGUCUACCAGAGCUUUGUGAUACACUUUCGAUGAGUCGAGUUGUUUGGGAAUGCAGCUCAAAAUGGGUGGUAAAUUCCAUCUAAAGCUAAAUAUUGGCGAGAGACCGAUAGCAAACAAGUACCGUGAGGGAAAGAUGAAAAGCACUUUGGAAAGAGAGUUAAAAGUACGUGAAAUUGCUGAAAGGGAAACGCUUGAAGUCAGACGUGCGCGGUAUCUAUACCACUGCAGGCCAGCAUCGGUUUUGCGAGCCGGAUAAAGGUUAGAGAAAGGUGGCAGUUUCGGCUGUGUUAUAGCCUCUUACUGAAUACGGAAUGCAAGACCGAGGGACGCAGCGCGCCGCAAGGCAAAGGAUUCGUCCUUUUCGCGCUUAGGAUGUUGGUGAAAUGGCUUUAAACGACCCGUCUUGAAACACGGACCAAGGAGUCUAACAUGCUUGCGAGUGUUUGGGUGGUUAAACCCAUCCGCGUAAUGAAAGUGAACGGAGGUGGGAUCCUUUACCGGAGCACCAUCGACCGAUCCAGAUUUUUAAUGAAGGAUUUGAGUAAGAGCACGUAUGUUGGGACCCGAAAGAUGGUGAACUAUGCCUGAAUAGGGUGAAGCCAGAGGAAACUCUGGUGGAGGCUCGUAGCGGUUCUGACGU